rnacentral:rRNA from 1 species
GAUGAACGCUAGCGGCAGGCCUAAUACAUGCAAGUCGAACGGGCGGUAGCAAUACCGCUAGUGGCGCACGGGUGCGUAACGCGUAACCAACCUGCCCAGAUCUGGGGGAUAGCCCGCCGAAAGGCGGAUUAAUACCGCAUAAACCCACAGUGUGGCAUCACAUAAUGGGUAAAGAUUUAUCGGAUCUGGAUGGGGUUGCGUAGCAUUAGCUAGUUGGCGGGGUAAUGGCCCACCAAGGCGACGAUGCUUAGGGGACCUGAGAGGGUGAUCCCCCACACUGGCACUGGGAUACGGGCCAGACGCCUACGGGAGGCGGCAGUAGGGAAUAUUGGGCAAUGGGCGAGAGCCUGACCCAGCCAUGCCGCGUGCCGGAUGAAGGCCUUCUGGGUUGUAAACGGCUUUUCUCAGGGAAGAAAACGGGGAUGCGUCCUCAACUGACGGUACCUGAGGAAUAAGCACCGGCUAGCUCCGUG